rnacentral:rRNA from 1 species
ACCUGGUUGAUUCUGCCAGUAGUCAUAUGCUUGUCUCAAAGAUAAGCCAUGCAGCUGACGUCAUGAAAG